rnacentral:rRNA from 1 species
CCCUUAGAUGUUCUGGGCCGCACGCGCGCUACACUGAUGCACUCAACGAGUCUCCACCUUGACCGAAAGGUCCGGGAAACCUUCGAACUUGCAUCGUGAUGGGGAUAGAUUAUUGCAACUAUUAAUCUUCAACGAGGAAUACCUAGUAGGCGCAUGUCAUCAGCGUGCGUCGAUUACGUCCCUGCCCUUUGUACACACCGCCCGUCGCUCCUACCGAUUGAAUGGUCCGGUGAAAUCUCGGGACGGCGGCUUGGUCGCUUGCGUCCGACUGCUGAAACUUGAUUAAACCAUAUCAUUUAGAGGAAGGUGAAGUCGUANCA